GAGUCAAGCUCAUCCGUCAUUAUUCAAGGUGCGUGUUUACCUGCACUAUAAUAAAUAAAUAAAUAAAUAAAAGAAAAAAAGAAAAAGAAAAAGAAAAAGAAAAAUCCUACUAAUAUAAGUGAAAGGUUGUGAAUUUUCGGAUAAGGUUCAGCUUAUCCUCAGCGCCACUGUUCUUUCUUCCACACGUUUGCCUAAAAAAUCAUCAAGAGAUCUUCGAAUCAUUUACUAAAAUUCUUGCCCUUCAAUCAACAUUGCCGUCUUCGUGCAUAGAGAGGAAGGGUGCAUGUGGUAUUGAAUGUUUCUAAAAUUGUAUCAAAACCACUAAACCAGCUGCCGCCGCCGCCGACUUGCGCCAACUCCUCCGCGAGAUCAGGAAAUUUCUACAACACGAUUUUGUUCUGGGCUAAUUGCAGUUGAUAUUAAGCUUCAUUUUGGAGGAAAUUUGCAGAGCUAAGCAAAUUUCAUUUCAACAAUCGCAUUCUCAGCUUAUAAUUUGGGUAUGGCGGCUUAUGGUGCGGCGGCUUCUCUCAAGAAUACGAUUCAGCGUCUUCUACAAUCGUCUCGCAUUUCUCUCGUUUCCCACUCUCCGCAAAUGUUGCAGCCUGCCUACGACGAGAUGGAUCGAUUGCAGAAAGUUCUGCUAAAAUUGGAUGAUACCGACUGCAGCAAGAUCAGGACGAAGGUGAACGCUGUGGAUGAACGAAUCAAAGAGGCAGUUUGGGAGUUUGAAGAUUUACUCGAAUCCCAUGUCUUACAUCAGAUUCUUCCACAACUCGAAAGCGAGAGAGACAACUUGUCAUUCUCUGUAGAGCUGCAGAGUCUGCAACACCAUGUUGAUUGCUUCGUCGAGAUGGUGAAGACGAUGGAGGAGGAAUACACUUAUGAAAUGGAGAAUAUGGCUGAAGAAGAAGGCGAGCCUAUUUCCUCAAGAAGUGAUUUUGGUGGAAUCAAGUCAAAGAUGUUUGGAUUAUCUGAUGAAUUUCAAAAAGCCAGAGAUGAUCUUCUUGAAGAUAAACACUAUUCGAUUAUUGGGAUGGCGGGCGUUGGAAAGACAACUCUUGCUAAACAUAUUUUUGAAGAUCCAUCAAUUCGGAGCCAUUUUGAGUUUCGAGCAUGGGUGAAAGUGGGCAGAAAAUGUGAAUCUAAUGAACUAUUACGAUGUGUUCUAGCUCAAGUGGAUCCCAACGCUUACCAAACACUUACCCAAGGAGAUGAUGAUGAUGAGGUAUUAGAUGGACUAUUGAAAGAAAAAUUAAAGCAUAAGAAAUGUCUCAUCGUGUUGGAUGAUGUUUGGGAGGGACAAGCAACAGAUCACUUGAUCACAAAUUUGUUACUAGAAAAGAAUAUUGAUGGAAAUAUUCGAGUCUUACUUACAAGUAGAAAAGAUAUAAUAGUCACACAGCAUGGGUACGGAAGAGUGCGCUUGUUGAAUGAGAAAGAAAGUAAGGAAUUACUAGGUGAGAAGGUGUUUGGUGAAGAGGGUUUCCCUCCUCAACUUGAGGAACUGGGAGAGAAGAUUGCCAAGAAAUGUGAAGGUCUUCCUCUUAUGAUUGUCACGGUUGCAGAGCUCCUAUCAAAAGCCGACAAGACCCCGGAAUACUGGACCGAGGUACUCGUCAAACAACGUAGUUCAGUCUUCGUGGUUGCAUAUAAUCAAAUAUCAGAGGUACUUUUCCCAAGCUAUGACUACUUACCCCAAUAUUUAAAAAUGUGUUUCCUCUACAUGGGAGCUUUCCGUCCAUAUUUGGAUAUCAACAUAAACUCGCUCAACACUAUGAUGAGUGCUGAUGUGUUUCUUCAACCGAGUGGAGAAGAAAGUUUUGAUAGUUUUUGGAAGACAUGCUUGUACAAACUUUCGCUCUGUUAUCAUCUUGUUCUCGACACAUCACAAGAGGAUGAAUAUUGGUUUUGGCAUAGAAAGUAUCGCGUGCAUUCUUGUUGGCAGCACGUGUGUAGGGUAGAAGCUAGUAGGAUCAAGUUUCUGCAUGUCUUACAAAGUUGUGAUGAUGUUAUAAAAGACCAGCGUCGGUUGUGUACCCAUUGGAACAGUUUAUUAUGCUUCAAACAAGUAUGUGAUUCGAUAAAAGUGAUUGUGCAUCCACCGUCCGUUCUCUCCUUUUUUAUGGUCCUUAUCACCCAUAUCCAAUCCCAAUACAUGCCAUGGGUUUCAAGUUGCUCAGGGUAUUAUAUGCUGAUGAUGUCCGAUUUUACCAUAUCUCAACUGGAAUUUUCAAACUAGUUUGUCUACGAUUUCUUGCCAUAACUUACAAUGGUGACCUCCCUGCUUCCAUAUCCAACCUUCUUCACCUUCAAUUCUUGAUUAUUAGUAGACAUGAGAUCAUUAAAAAGUGUGGAGUUCAUUCUUUUGUGCCUGUACAAAUUUGGGACAUGCAAGAACUAGAGUUUCUUGAGAUAUGGGGAAGGGACCUACCAACCCCUAACUGUGAUGCUACCUUGAAUAAACUCCACACACUUUUUGGUGUGAGUGCAAACAGUUGUACAAGGGAAGUUCUCAAAAGAAUUCCUAAUUUAAAGAGUUUAUCAAUUGAUGUGGAGUUGAAGCCUUAUGAUGAUGAUGAAACCAACCCAUUGAGUUCUUUGAGUUAUAUAUCAAAACUCGAGAAUUUGGUCACACUUAUAUAUAGAAUCACGAAUCCCGAGAUAAAGCGUGAGCUUCCUACUAUUAUUCAUCUUUCAAUGUUCCCAUCAAGUCUCAUUAAAUUAGAAUUGAGUGGCGUUGGAUAUCCUUGGGGGUCUCUAAAUGACAUUGGUUCUCUGCUUCCAAAACUCGAGCUUCUCAUAUUAAGAUGCUAUGCCUUUCUAGGCCCAGAGUGGGAAAUAAAAACGGGGAGUUUCUUGAAUCUUAUUGAACUUCGAAUUGAAGACACCGAUUUGGUGCAAUGGAGACCUCAACGUGGAAGCCUCCCGAGCCUCCGUAUACUAAGGAUGAAUCACUGCUACAAAUUGCAACAACUCUAUUUGUCGGAUGAUCAGUCUUCGAUCACGACCAUUGAAUUAGAGGAGUGCAAUCCUUUAGCUGUCGUUUGUACCGAUCAAUUAAAAGGCAAGGUCUCCAUCAAACUUACCACUCGUUCUUUUUUUUGAGCUCAAGUGACUCUGCAACUUGCCCGACAGGCAAAUGAGAGCGCUGAAGUGGUGAAGCGCCGCGUUAUCUCAUAAUUUAAUUAGAUUGUACUUGUCUUAAUUUAAGGAUUGUAACUUGCUUUGGAUUUUGUUGAGGACUAUGAAACCUGAGUGGUUAAUUGUGUAUGUAGUUUGUAACCGAAAUUGUUGUAAGUUGGAUUUGUGCGAAAGCAUUACUUGUCAUGCAUGAUUUUCACUUUGUUUUGGUAUUGUGUGUAAUCAGUUGGUGUGUUUUCUUUAAUAGAUUAAAAUUAAUCUCAGAUUCUGACAGUAUAUAAGAUGUAACUUAUUUAUGACUCAA